rnacentral:lncRNA from 1 species
AUAGGUCUUCAGUGUGUGACAGGUUAGUACACGUGGUGAACCUAUAGGACCUCAGUGUGACAGGUUAGUACAGUGGUGAACCUAUAGGUCUUCAGUGUGUGACAGGUUAGUACAGUGGUGAACCUAUAGGUCUUCAGUGUGUGACAGGUUAGUACAGUGGUGAACCUAUAGGUCUUCAGUGUGUACAGGUUAGUACAGUGGUGAACCUAUAGGCCUUCAGUGUGUAACAGGUUAGUACAGUGGUGAACCUAUAGGACUUCAGUGUGUGUGUGACAGGUUAGUACAGUGGUGAACCUAUAGGUCUUCAGUGUUAGACAGGUUAGUACAGUGGUGAACCUAUAGGUCUUCAGUGUGUGACAGGUUAGUACAGUGGGUGAACCUAUAGGACUUCAGUGUGUGACAGGUUAGUACAGUGGUGAACCUAUAGGCUUCAGUGUUGACAGUGGUGAACCUAUAGGUCUUCAUGUGUGUGUGACAGGUUAGUACAUGUGAACCUAUAGGUCUUCAGUGUGUGACAGGUUAGUACAGUGGUGAACCUAUAGGCCUUCAGUGUGUGACAGUGGUGAACCUAUAGGUCUUCAGUGUGUGUGUGACAGGUUAGUACAGUGGUGAACCUAUAGGUCUUCAGUGUGUGACAGGUUAGUACAGUGGUGAACCUAUAGGCCUUCAGUGUGUGACAGGUUAGUACAGUGGUGAACCUAUAGGUUUCAGUGGUUGGAC